rnacentral:rRNA from 1 species
UGAGGAAUAUUGCGCAAUGGGCGAAAGCCUGACGCAGCAACGCCGCGUGCGGGAUGACGGCUCUUCGAGUUGUAAACCGCUGUAGCAGGGGAAAAAGACGCGCUUUUCGGAGCGUGGUGAUGGUACCCUGAAAGUAAGCCUCGGCUAACUACGUGCCAGCAGCCGCGGUAAUACGUAGGAGGCAAGCGUUGUCCGGAUUUACUGGGUGUAAAGGGUCCGCAGGCGGACCUGUGAGUCGGUGGUGAAAUCCUCCAGCUUAACUGGAGAGCUGCCUCCGAUACUGCAGGUCUUGAAUCAAGAAGAGGGGACGGAAUUCCAGGUGUAGCGGUGAAAUGCUUAGAUAUCUGGAAGAACACCGGUGGCGAAGGCUGUUCCCUGGUCUUCGAUUGACGCUCAUGGA